CAGCCGCCGCGGUAAUACGUAGGUGGCAGGCGUUGUCCGGAAUUAUUGGGCGUAAAGGGCUCGCAGGCGGUCUCUUAAGUCUGAUGUGAAAGCCCCCGGCUCAACCGGGGAGGGUCAUUGGAAACUGGGAAACUUGAGUGCAGAAGAGGAGAGUGGAAUUCCACGUGUAGCGGUGAAAUGCGUAGAGAUGUGGAGGAACACCAGUGGCGAAGGCGACUCUCUGGUCUGUAACUGACGCUGAGGAGCGAAAGCGUGGGGAGCGAACAGGAUUAGAUACCCCAGUAGUCCCUGUCUCUUAUAC
rnacentral:rRNA from 1 species